UGCAAGUCGAGGGGUAGAGGCCUUCGGGCCUUGAGACCGGCGCACGGGUGCGUAACGCGUAUGCAAUCUGCCUUCCACAGAGGGAUAGCCCAGAGAAAUUUGGAUUAAUACCUCAUAGCAUCAUGACCCGGCAUCGGGAUAUGAUUAAAGUCACAACGGUGGAAGAUGAGCAUGCGUCCCAUUAGCUAGUUGGUAAGGUAACGGCUUACCAAGGCUACGAUGGGUAGGGGUCCUGAGAGGGAGAUCCCCCACACUGGUACUGAGACACGGACCAGACUCCUACGGGAGGCAGCAGUGAGGAAUAUUGGUCAAUGGGCGCAAGCCUGAACCAGCCAUGCCGCGUGCAGGAUGACGGUCCUAUGGAUUGUAAACUGCUUUUGUACGGGAAGAAACCCUCCUACGUGUAGGAGCUUGACGGUACCGUAAGAAUAAGGAUCGGCUAACUCCGUGCCAGCAGCCGCGGUAAUACGGAGGAUCCAAGCGUUAUCCGGAAUCAUUGGGUUUAAAGGGUCUGUAGGCGGUCUUGUAAGUCAGUGGUGAAAGCCCAUCGCUCAACGGUGGAACGGCCAUUGAUACUGCUGGACUUGAAUUAUUGGGAAGCAACUAGAAUAUGUAGUGUAGCGGUGAAAUGCUUAGAGAUUACAUGGAAUACCAAUUGCGAAGGCAGGUUGCUACCAAUGGAUUGACGCUGAUGGACGAAAGCGUGGGUAGCGAACAGGAUUAGAUACCCUGGUAGUCCACGCCGUAAACGAUGGAUACUAGCUGUUGGGCGCAAGUUCAGUGGCUAAGCGAAAGUGAUAAGUAUCCCACCUG
rnacentral:rRNA from 1 species